UUUUGACUAGGGAGAAUUUCU
ensembl:piRNA 21ur-9740 ncRNA